GCGGAGCGUUUACCCAGCACAUAGGAAUAUUGGCACAAAAAUCAACUAAUGGGUUUUAUAGCCAUUUAUAAGCCAGCGGGGAGGGGACAAGGGAGUGGAGAACCAGAGGCCACUCUAGUGUUAGGAAUACAGAUUUGUAUUCCCAACACUACUGAAUCCCUUUAAAGAAUUUCUUAUACUGAUCCAACAGAAGGUAGUCUGGUCAUAUUUGUUACAUCACAGAUAUAAUUUGGUAGUACACCAGGCUUACCAUCCUUUGGCACAUUCUGGGAGUGCCUG